UUACAAACCCGAGCCAUCGCUCCAAGCAAUUGGGGAGGAAAGUCCGGACAGUACAGAGCAACCCACCGGUUAAGCGCCGGCUCCUCAAUUUAUUGAGGAAGAGAGAGUGCCACAGAAAAUAACUAUCACAGGCAACUGUGAAAAAGGUGAAAACGGGAGGUAAGAGCUCCCGGCGGUGGUUGGUAACAGCUGCUGCGGGUAAACCUUGGGUACUGUAAUGCCAUGUAUAGGAUCGCUUGAGGGCUGCUCGCUCAAGAUCCAGGGUAGGCAGCAAGAUCAGCUCAGUAAUGAUCUGACUAGAUAAAUGAUGGAGUUGAAACAGAAUCCGGCUUACGAGGUUUGUAUUUUU
rnacentral:RNase_P_RNA from 1 species